rnacentral:rRNA from 1 species
AUACGGGGGGGUCUAGCGUUAUUCGGAUUUACUGGGCGUAAAGAGCGCGUAGGCGGGAUCGUGGGUCGGCCGUGAAAUCCACCGGCUCAACCGGUGAACUGCGGUCGAAACUGCGGUCCUUGAGUUUGGUAGAGGAAGACGGAAUUCCUGGUGUAGCGGUGGAAUGCGUAGAUAUCAGGAAGAACACCAGUAGCGAAGGCGGUCUUCUGGGCCACAACUGACGCUGAGGCGCGAAAGCUAGGGGAGCGAACAGGAUUAGAUACCCUGGUAGUCCUAGCCGUAAACGAUGGGUACUAGGUGUGGGAGGUACUGACCCCUUCUGUGCCGCAGUUAACGCAUUAAGUACCCCGCCUGGGGAGUACGGUCGCAAGGCUGAA